CCUACAGAUGUGGCAGGAUUAACUAUGGAUGUUAAAGCCAGACAUUGCCAGCAGAAUCACAUCUCUUCACCCACAGCAUGGACUGUAGGAGAAAGCCCAGAGGAGCAAUGAAGACAAAGAAGACAUGACUCCUGCAAAAAGUCAGUGGAGUAUUUCUACAUAACAAACCUUCCAGGUUCAUCUUGGCUGAAAUCAUCCUAUGUGUGUUGUUUUCUGUCCAGCUU